CCUACGGGAGGCAGCGGUGGGGAAUAUUGCACAAUGGGGGAAACCCUGAUGCAGCGACGCCGCGUGAGCGAAGAAGGUCUUCGGAUCGUAAAGCUCUGUUGUUAGGGAAGAACAAGUACGGGAGGAAAUGACCGUAACUUGACGGUACCUAACGAGGAAGCCACGGCUAACUACGUUCCAGCAGCCGCGGUAAUACGUAGGUGGCAAGCGUUGUCCGGAAUUAUUGAGCGUAAGGCGCGCGCAGGCGGUCUGUUAAGUCUGAUGUGAAAUCUUCCGGCUCAACCGCAAGAGGUCAUUGGUAACCGGGAGACUUAAUUACAGAAGAGGAAAACAGAAUUACACGUGUAGCUGUGAAAUGGGUAGAGAUGUGGAGGAACACCAGCGGCGAAGACGGCUUUCUGGUCUGUAACUCACGCUGAGGCGCGAAAGAGUGCGGAGCAGAAAGAAUUAGAUACCUCAGUAGUC
rnacentral:rRNA from 1 species